rnacentral:tRNA from 1 species
GUUUAAAUAGCUUAUUUAGAGCAUAAUAUUGAAGAUAUUAAGGAGACUUAGGUCUUUAAGCA